AUUUGAAAAUACCUGACCCGAGUAAUAUUUUUAUUAUUAUAUUUUUUUAAGAAUAGAAACACUCUCUUUUGGAACAAACUCUAGUAGUUGUAUGCCCCUGCUUUUCAUUCUUCUUCCCCAACUUCAAAUCCUUCGUUGAAACCUAUUUCGCUAUGCUCCAUCAAGGGCCUUUCUUCAUCGCAUUCUCCGAAACCCUUUGCACGGAGAAGCAGCUGCAGCUGCAGCUCUCCAAAACCACGUCAAGCUCCUCCUCAUUUGGGUCACGACAAUCUAAUCCUUCAAUAGUGGCCAAUGGAUCUGUUCGGCGACGCACACUUACGGGGAGCCAGCAGAAGAGGCAUCCUCAGGAAAGAGGUUUUGAAUGUGGUCGUCGUGGACAGUGGAGAAAGCCUCUAGUCAAAGAAGGCUGACUUGGUCAAAUAAGAGGGCUUCAACCCAUUUGCUUUUGAGCCCAAAAUGCAUAGCUGCAUAGAGAAUUGGACAACCCGCGCCCAAUUGAAUCGAAAUUCCCCUUUGCAGGUUGACAAAGUUGUUGAACCAGGGAGCACACGCAAGCAGGGGUGAAGGCUUGAAGCUGAGUCAAUAUGCAGUCCAAAGAGGCAAUGAGUGAGAACUUGGUUUUAGUUGAGAGGGCAUUGUGCAAAAACCCUUUGGUACGAAAGUUGUAGUUUGGGAGCUGAAGGUUAGGUCCUUUGUUAUUCUUGUCCUCUUUUGUAAAAUAAGUCUUAGUUUUCUUUUAAAAAGGGAGUGUGUAAGCAUCUAAGAGAGAGUUGGCGUAUCGGCCCGGUUUCUUUCCUCCUUUUUUGCUGCUUAGAGUAAAGUGUAGUUUAGGAGUCUUCGUCUUCACCAAGAGUAGAUAGAGAGUUUGUGAAAAUUGUGGAGGGUUCAACCAAUAACACCUAAUAUUCUGAUCUUUAUUGAGUGCAAAGUAACCAUUGGAGAGGGGAAUGCUUCUACUGUACAAGGGGAGAGCUACGUGAGAGGAGUCUUCGUCUCAUCCUCUCACUCGCAUUUCUCGGCACUCCUCACUCACAUUUCUCAGCACUCCUCUGCGAUUGCAUUCUUCUCGGCUCCGAGAACACUCCUUCCUCCGCAAGACUACCUCUGGCUCCGAAAUCUCCGAAGUCUAACCAAAUUGGUGGGGAUUGUGUUUGGAUUGGUGGAGAAAUUAGCGGCGUUAGCACGAGAGAGAGGAGGAGGGAGCCUUGAAUGCCAAAUCCACGACGGUGAUUGGAGAAUUUUGAAGGAUCAAAAUCAAUGACAAUGAUUGUGGAUAUUACGUGUGUCGAUGUAUAAAAGAAAUUAUUACAUAUUAUGUAGGAGGAAUAAUUCCAACUGAUUAUUUUCUUAAUUGCAUAUAUCAACUAUAUCAUGACAACAAAUUAUUGAAGUUAGGGAAGAUUGAUGUUACAUGUAAUCAGUACAUGCUUAUAGGUUGUUAUGGUGACCUAAAUGUUUAUAGGUACAAGGAUAUAUAUGUUAUGGUUGUAUAUAUUGUCUUAUAAAGCAAUGUCAUGUCAUGACACGUA